rnacentral:rRNA from 1 species
GGGAGGUAGUGACAAUAAAUAACAAUACGGGGUCCUUUCGGGUUUCGUAAUUGGAAUGAGUACAAUUUAAAUCUCUUAACGAGGAACAAUUGGAGGGCAAGUCUGGUGCCAGCAGCCGCGGUAAUUCCAGCUCCAAUAGCGUAUAUUAAAGUUGUUGCAGUUAAAAAGCUCGUAGUUGAAUUUCGGGAUCGGCGGAUCGGUCGCGCCAUCGGUGUGUACUGGUCCAGUCGGUUUCUCCCUUCUGACGAACCACGAUGUCAUUAAUUUGGUGUCGCGGGGAAUCAGGACUGUUACUUUGAAAAAUUAGAGUGUUUAAAGCAGGCAUUAGCUUGAAUACAUUAGCAUGGAAUAAUGAAAUAGGACGUUUGAUCUUAUUUUGUUGGUUUCUAGGAUCGACGUAAUGAUUAAUAGGGAUAGUUGGG